UACGUAGGGGCCUAGCGUUGUCCGGAUUUAUUGGGCGUAAAGAGCUCGUAGGCGGUUUGGUGAGUCGGGUGUGAAAUCCCGAGGCUCAACCUCGGGUCUGCAGUCGAUACGAGCAAACUAGAGUGUUGCAGGGGAGACUGGAAUUCCUGGUGUAGCGGUGAAAUGCGCAGAUAUCAGGAGGAACACCGGUGGCGAAGGCGGGUCUCUGGGCAACAACUGACGCUGAGGAGCGAAAGCGUGGGGAGCGAACAGG
rnacentral:rRNA from 1 species